rnacentral:rRNA from 1 species
GGCAUAUCAAUAAGCGGAGGAAAAGAAACCAACAGGGAUUGCCUUAGUAGCGGCGAGUGAAGCGGCAAAAGCUCAAAUUUGAAAUCUGGCACUUUCAGUGUCCGAGUUGUAAUUUGAAGAAGGUAUCUUUGGGUCUGGCUCUUGUCUAUGUUUCUUGGAACAGAACGUCACAGAGGGUGAGAAUCCCGUGCGAUGAGAUGUCCCAGACCUAUGUAAAGUUCCUUCGAAGAGUCGAGUUGUUUGGGAAUGCAGCUCUAAGUGGGUGGUAAAUUCCAUCUAAAGCUAAAUAUUGGCGAGAGACCGAUAGCGAACAAGUACAGUGAUGGAAAGAUGAAAAGAACUUUGAAAAGAGAGUGAAAAAGUACGUGAAAUUGUUGAAAGGGAAGGGCUUGAGAUCAGACUUGGUAUUUUGUAUGUUACUCUCUCGGGGGUGGCCUCUACAGUUUACCGGGCCAGCAUCAGUUUGAGCGGUAGGAUAAGUGCAAAGAAAUGUGGCACUGCUUCGGUAGUGUGUUAUAGUCUUUGUCGAUACUGCCAGCUUAGACUGAGGACUGCGGCUUCGGCCUAGGAUGUUGGCAUAAUGAUCUUAAGUCGCCCGUCUUGAAACACGGAC